GACGAACGCUGGCGGCGUGCUUAACACAUGCAAGUCGAACGAUGAAGAAGAGCUUGCUCUUCGGAUUAGUGGCGAACGGGUGAGUAACACGUGACUAACCUGCCCCUUUCUCUGGGAUAACGCUCCGAAAGGAGUGCUAAUUCCGGAUACUCACAUCGAGGCACAUGCCUUGAUGUGGAAAGUUUUUCGGAAAGGGUUGGAGUCGCGGCCUAUCAGCUUGUUGGUGAGGUAACGGCUCACCAAGGCGACGACGGGUAGCCGGCCUGAGAGGGCGACCGGCCACACUGGGCCUGAGACACGGCCCAGACUCCUACGGGAGGCAGCAGUGGGGAAUAUUGCACAAUGGGCGAAAGCCUGAUGCAGCGACGCCGCGUGAGGGAUGAAGGUCUUCGGAUUGUAAACCUCUUUCAGUAGGGACGAAGCGAAAGUGACGGUACCUAAAGAAGAAGCACCGGCUAACUACGUGCCAGCCGCCGCAGUAA
rnacentral:rRNA from 1 species